rnacentral:rRNA from 1 species
CGGCGAGUGAAGCGGGAAGAGCUCAAAUUUGAAAUCUGGUGGCCUCAGGUCAUCCGAGUUGUAAUCUAUAGAAGUGUUUUCCGUGCUGGCUCAUGUACAAGUCCCUUGGAACAGGGCGUCAUAGAGGGUGAGAAUCCCGUCCUUGACAUGAACUACCAGUGCUCUGUGAUACAUUUUCAACGAGUCGAGUUGUUUGGGAAUGCAGCUCAAAAUGGGUGGUAAAUUCCAUCUAAAGCUAAAUAUUGGCGAGAGACCGAUAGCGAACAAGUACCGUGAGGGAAAGAUGAAAAGCACUUUGGAAAGAGAGUUAAACAGUAUGUGAAAUUGUUGAAAGGGAAACGAUUGAAGUCAGUCGUGCUCUUUGGAUUCAGCCGGUUCUGCCGGUGUACUUCCUUUGAGUGGGGUCAACAUCAGUUUUGAUCGCUGGAUAAAGGCUGGAGGAACGUAGUACCCUCGGGUAAACUUAUAGCCUCCUGUCACAUACAGUGGUUGGGACUGAGGAACGCAGCACGCCUUUAUGGCCGGGAUUCGUCCACGUACGUGCUUAG